GACAAACGCUGGCGGAAUGUAUUAGGCAUGCAAGUCGUACGAACCUUCUGGUUAGUGGCGAACGGGUGAGUAACACGUGGGUAACCUGCCUCGUAGUGGGGAAUAACUCGCCGAAAGGCGAGCUAAUACCGCAUAACACCCCCGGUGAGAAUCCGGGUGGUAAAAGCUCCGGCGCUACGAGAGGGGCCCGCGGCCGAUUAGCUAGUUGGUGGGGUAAUGGCCUACCAAGGCGACGAUCGGUAGCUGGUCUGAGAGGAUGGUCAGCCACACGGGGACUGAGAUACGGCCCCGACUCCUACGGGAGGCAGCAGCUAAGAAUCUUGCGCAAUGGGCGAAAGCCUGACGCAGCAAUUCCGCGUGGGGGACGAAGGCCCUCGGGUCGUAAACCCCCUUUUGUGAGGGAAGAAGUUCUGACGGUACCUCACGAAUAAGACACGGCUAACUACGUG
rnacentral:rRNA from 1 species